rnacentral:misc_RNA from 1 species
AAGGAAGCAUUUGAUGUGUUUGAUGAGAACAAAGAUGGAUUCAUUGAUGCAAAAGAUUUACAGAGAGUUCUAUGCCGUCUGGGUUUUAAGGAAGGAAAACAAGUUGAGGAGUGUAAGAGAAUGAUUCAUGCAGUUCAUGGGGAUGAUGGGUUUGGAAGGAUUCAAUUCACUGAUUUUUUGAUAUUUAUGAACAAGUGUUUUUGAUGAAAUGCUCUCUUAAUCAUGGUAAAUGAUUUGUUUCCCAUCUCCUUGUAGAUUUUUUUCCCUUUUUCUAGCAUGCCUUCAGCUGGAAGUUUCGAGUUUUUAGUUCGAAUCUCUUUAUAUCUAAUUGAAAUUAAUUAUAUUUAUAUCAAAGUUAUUGAAAGA